rnacentral:lncRNA from 1 species
CUCUCUCUCUCUCUCUCUCUCUCUCUCUCUCUCUCUCUCUCUCUCUCUCUCUCUCUCUCUCUCUCUAUCUAUCUAUUUAUAUAUCUAUCUAUCUCUCUCCACUCCUCAUUUCCCUCACAGCCCUCAGCUUUAUUGAUGAACACGUGAAGUAUACAUAAAUGAAUAUAUUAAAAAAAGAAAUCUAUAAAUAUAAAUAAAUAAAUACACGUACUUUUAAUCCUAAUACAAUAGUUUACCGACAACGACAUAGUGAGGCUUUGAUCCUGUCGAGCAGUACUACUAUACUCCCUCUUAGCUCAGUCGUUCCUAGUGAGCAUUACUGACCCGCACUAAGGCUCCCACGGCCCACCUGUCCACCGCCUGCCCGUCUGUAGCGAAGUGACAGGUGACGCGGGGAAGCCUCGUGAGGGACAAUACCAAGGCAGCUUCAAUACAUACUUAUAUAUAUAUAUAUUCUACGUAUAUCACGACUGUCAACUGUACUCUUUCCCUCUAGCACAGCCGCUGCCGCUACCAACGCACGGCGGGUCAUUGUUAUCACUACUUCCCACUACGUACUGUUACUUUCCUGGUUCAGUUCCCAUCGCCACAGUAGUUGUGUGUUCCAGCGGCUCUGCUUCUUACUUAUGAUUAUUAUUGGUGAUGGUGAUGAUGAUGAUGAUGAUGAUGAUUGACGUGUUUGGUGAAGGGUUUUUAGGAGGUGGUUGUCAAAUUUUGCUUUAGGAUAGAAUCACAGGAGCCUUGUGGCACUACGCUGUACCAGUAUUAGGAUUAUAAGUAACCUUUGUGAUUCUAGAGGUGUAAAUGGCGGCCUGUGACCUGGUGUCGGGGCGCUGCGGAGGACCACGUGCCCCUGCCUCCACCGCCUCCGCCUGGUGACUCAUUCCCCACGCCCUGGCUCCUACUGUGCCUCUUACUUCUCCUCCGGCUGGUAAAACGUAGCAGGACGUUCGUACAGGAGCAGCAGCUGACGCAUCUUAGCGCUAAUCAAAACAAUCUCAUUGCUAUUUUAGACCAGUUGGCACAGACGGGGCCACGGCGUGAGGAGCGAGCCAGCGGGAGGGAGGCGAGGGAGACAGGAGCAGUAGUCACGCCGCAGCCUCCUGACGAGAGUUGCUUUGUAUAGUUUGAGGGUCGACGGUGCUGCGCUGGUGUUGUGUGGAGGCGCAGAGCGGAGCAAGGUGCUGUCCUACGUGGCGGCGGAGAGUCCAUGCAGCGUAGCAAUGGUUUGUUGUGUGCGCUUGUGAAGGCCGCGAUCCCAGUGCCCAGUGCGUGGCUGUGGGGGAUAUUUUUCCGCGCGUAAGGCUUGUUGCACAGGGACGUGGAACACCUGAGGGGACUUCCUGGUCGUCGGAGCAGUUUAGUCUUGUGGGGAAAGAGAUUACUUGUGAAUAUGUUGCAAUGCUGAGGUCAUCUGGCGUAGAGGGAGAAACUAGUAAUGUGUUUAGAUAGUUUCCUGAGACGUAAUGACAGAAAACUCUUGCCAUUCACGGUGACUCAACGCCAACGCUUUCACACACACACACACACACACACACACACACACACACACACACACACACACACACACACACACACACACACACACACACACACACACACACACACACACACACACACACACACACACACACACACACACACACACACACACACACACACACACACAGGCCAGAUUCAAACCGAAAUCAUAUUCGCAUCGGCCUGCCACUCCUGCCGUCACACCGCCCAUAAAUUCAGAUUAAUUUCCUGGAUACAGAGUUAGUGUGUCGCUGGCCACUCAUUCAUCACUGAUCGCCGUGACCCUGAAUUAGUGACAUGUAGUAUUAUAAGGAUUUCUCAGGUGGUAUGAGAGAGAGAGAGAGAGAGAGAGAGAGAGAGAGAGAGAGAGAGAGAGAGAGAGAGAAAGAGAGAGCGAGAGAGAGAGAGAGGGAGGGAUGGACGGUGCCUGCAGGAUGAUGAGCCACGAACCAGUUUAAAGGGAAUGAAUCCUUUGAGCCGUGUCCCCUUCCGCCCUUCCUGCCUGCCUCCCUUACUCUCUCUCUCUCCCUCAUCCUCCCGCCCCAGUCUCCCUCCGCCCCCCGCCCUUCAGCAGCCACCCACUGCCUAAAGCUUUCACUUGCCCGCCCAGUUACUCGUGACCGCCCACAGUCAGCACGCCGCCCGCCAGCUUCUCACUGCCUUCUCCUGUUACUCUCACGCCCACUCUCGUCUUGAACUGUAAUGCGAUCCAAGAGAGAGAGAGAGAGAGAGAGAGAGAGAGAGAGAGAGAGAGAGAGAAUAAGUAAUUACUCUCUCAUCUACUUUGACCCUCCCUCCCUCAACUGAAUUCUCGAGAGGCAGCAGAUGUUCACGGUUUUAAUUAAUAUAGUCUGGUGGUGGAGGAGGUGGUGGUGGUGGAGGUGGUGGUUCUUCUAAGAUUAUGGUGGCAGUGGUGGUGCGUAGUAGUUUCUCCUCCUCCACCUUCUCUUCCUCCUCUUCUUUUCCCUCCCACUCUUCCCCCACUCACUACCAUCCCCGCCACUCCCGCUAUCUCGCGCCACAUCGCUAACAAUGACGCACAAGAUAAUAGCACACCAAUGACUUUCAGGCAAAUAACGCGCCAGAGAGAGAGAGAGAGAGAGAGAGGAGGGGGGAGGGGGGUAGAUAAACAGACUAAGCAGAGUGAGGAGAAAGAAGAGUUUAAGAAGGAGAGGAUGUAAAAGAGGAGUAAAGAGAGAGGAGAGGGAGGAGGGAGAGGGUGAGAGAGAGAGAGAGAAGGUGGAGAAUGCACGAGGUGUAGCAGGUGCGUGUGUGUGUGUGUGUGUGUGUGUGUGUGUGUGUGUGUGUGUGUGUGUGUGUGUGUGUGAGUGUGUAUGUCUGUUACUCUAAACAACCAACUGACUUAACGCUCUCCUUCCUCCUUGCCAUAACUCACAACCCAUUGCCUAAAACACUCAUAACUUUAAAAGCCCAGAGGAAUUAUGGGACUUCAGCAACCACGUAAACUUGCCGUUGAAAUGAAAGUAUAAACAUGGAUAUCAAAACCUUAAGCAAUCUUCGACCAAGGUACUACAUGAAAAUAAUAAUAAUGUGUGUGUGUGUGUGUGUGUGUGUGUGUGUGUGUGUGUGUGUGUGUGUGUGUGUGUGUGUGUGUGUGUGUGUGUGUGUGUGUGUGUGUGUGUGUGUGUGUGUGUGUGUGUGUGUGUGUGUGUGUGUGUGUGUUUAUAGGAGUAGUAAAAGGAUCAAGAAGUUGUUUACUAAAGUCGCAAAAGGAGGUUGGUGGUGCUGAGAGAGAGAGAGAGAGAGAGAGAGAGAGAGAGAGAGAGAGAGAGAGAGAGAGAGAGAGAGAGAGAGAGACGAUUGUAAGACUCAGCUGCUCUGCGUGUGUAUUGUAAGAAACCUAACCUUCUUCUUACGUCUUCUUUAAGGUGAAAAGACUCUCUCUCUCUCUCUCUCUCUCUCUCUCUCUCUCUCUCUCUCUCUCUCUCUCUCUCUCUCUCUCUCUC